GUUUGGGUUUUGUGCUAAUUAUUUUAGAGAAUAGAUGAGUUUGAAUGAAUGAGGCAAUUAAAAACAAGAGAGAUUCUUAGCUUAUCUGUGCAUAUUUUCAAGUGUCAUCAGCUGCUGAAC